GUGCCAGCAGCCGCGGUAAAACGUAGGGGGCGAGCGUUAUCCGGAAUCACUGGGCGUAAAGGGCGUCUAGGCGGUUGCUUAAGUCUCGUGUGAAAGCUCCCGGCUCAACUGGGAGAGGGCAUGGGAAACUGGGCGACUUGAGACUCGGAGGGGGGUGUGGAAUUCCCGGUGGAGUGGUGAAAUGCGUUGAGAUCGGGAGGAACACCUGUGGCGAAAGCGGCACCCUGGUCGAGGUCUGACGCUGAAGCGCGAAAGCGUGGGGAGCGAACGGGAUUAGAUACCCUGGUAGUCC
rnacentral:rRNA from 1 species